GUGGGGAAUAUUGGACAAUGGGGGCAACCCUGAUCCAGCAAUGCCGCGUGUGUGAAGAAGGUCUUCGGAUCGUAAAGCACUUUCGACGGGGACGAUGAUGACGGUACCCGUAGAAGAAGCCCCGGCUAACUUCGUGCCAGCAGCCGCGGUAAUACGAAGGGGGCUAGCGUUGCUCGGAAUUACUGGGCGUAAAGGGCGCGUAGGCGGCUCUGUUAGUCAGGCGUGAAAUUCCUGGGCUUAACCUGGGGACUGCGCUUGAUACUGCGGAGCGUGAGGCCGAUAGAGGGUGGUGGAAUUCCCAGUGUAGAGGUGAAAUUCGUAGAUAUUGGGAAGAACACCGGUGGCGAAGGCGACCACCUGGCUCGGUACUGACGCUGAGGCGCGACAGCGUGGGGAGCAAACAGGAUUAGAUACCCCUGUAGUCC
rnacentral:rRNA from 1 species